UACGUAGGGUGCGAGCGUUUAAUCGGAAUUACUGGGCGUAAAGCGUGCGCAGGCGGUUCGCUAAGACCGAUGUGAAAUCCCCGGGCUUAACCUGGGAACUGCAUUGGUGACUGGCGGGCUAGAGUAUGGCAGAGGGGGGUAGAAUUCCACGUGUAGCAGUGAAAUGCGUAGAGAUGUGGAGGAAUACCGAUGGCGAAGGCAGCCCCCUGGGCCAAUACUGACGCUCAUGCACGAAAGCGUGGGGAGCAAACAGG
rnacentral:rRNA from 1 species